AUGCAUUUUCCUUUGAAACCAUCCAAGAAAAAGGAUGAUGAGGAUUUUGAGCGCUUUGCUGAAAUGAUUAGGCCUAUCUUUUUGCAUAUGCGAUUAACUGAUGUGCUCAAAACAAAUCCUUAUGCUAAAUAUAUGAAGGAUAUCAUUACUAAUAAAAGAAAGAUACCGGAAGCUGAAAUUUCCACCAUGCUUGCUAAUUAUACUUUUAAGGGUGGAAUACCAAAGAAACUUGGAGACCCCGGAGUACCUACUGUACCUUGCUCCUUUAAAAGAAAUUAUAUUAAAACUGCUUUAUGUGAUCUUGGAGCCGGUGUUAGUGUUAUGCCUCUCUGUUUAUAUCGUAGACUAGACUUGAAUAAGUUGACACCUACUAAAAUAUCUUUGCAAAUGGCUGAUAAAUCAACUGCUAUACCUGUUGGUAUUUGUGAGGAUGUGCUUGUUGUGGUUCCAAACAUUACUAUUUUAACGGACUUUGUUAUACUUGAUAUUCCCGAGGAUGAUAGUAUGUAUAUUAUUCUUGGAAGACAUUUUCUUAAUACUGCAGGGGCUCUUAUUGAUUGCAACAAAGGCAUUGUCACUUUUCAUGUUAAUGGUAAUAAGCAUACGGUACACUUUCCGAGGAAACAACCCCAAGUUCAUAGUAUCAACUCUAUUGGAAAAAUUCCAUCGAUUAUAUUUGGAGGUUUUGAAUUUCCUCUUCCUACUGUCAAGAAGAAAUAUGAUAUUCUUAUUAUUGGGGAUGUGCAUAUACCCAUUGAGGAAUAUUUGAGGAUUUACUGUGCAAAAAUUACUGCAGGAGGAGCUGCCACCUGGCCACGAGGGUGGUGGGCGCCCCCCCCCUAG
rnacentral:rRNA from 1 species